ensembl:lncRNA LINC00598 long intergenic non-protein coding RNA 598
GAGGCGCUGGAGAGGAGCAGUAAGGAAGGUUGGCAUCUGGGUGGACCCGAUGUCAGGCCUGGCCCGCGCACCCACCAGUUAUGUAACCUUGGGCAAAUGUCCUCCCUGAGCUGAGCCUUUCUUUCCUCAUGGACUAAACAGGGCUGGAGCACAGUGGCAUGAUCUCGGCUAACUGCAACCUCUGCCUGCCUCCCAGGUUCAAGCAAUUCUCCUGCCUCAGCCUCCCAAGUAGCUGGGAUUACAGGGCUCUGCCUGCCACAAUUCAUGAGCUGGCCAGAGGUCUUUGGAUUCCUCCCAGUCAUUGCUGAGAUGAGUGAGGAUUGUUUCAGAAAAUCAGGCCUCCUCCUGGGGAAUGUGCCUCAGCUUCUGUUGCCGUGGCAUGUUGUGAACUACACUUGUCCAGACAUCUAACCACCUACAAGGCAAUGAAGAGACCCUUUACUCCCACGUCAGUAGCUACCGCAGCUGCGAAGCGAAUCCUGA